CAAAGAUCGAUUCCUACAAACUAAAUAUGGACGAUCAAAUCCAUAUCCACCUUGUGUGCACUCAUUGACCGUUUGCUUUGGCAGGAAGGAGCCUCCGAUCCGGAGGUGCUGAGGUGUCCAUUUAUUUGUGACAGCCUCGGGCCUGCCAGAGUUUUUUUUCCUGAACUCACGCCUAUUCUUCUGGACUGAACCUUUGUCCCGAUUCUCUUGUAGGAUCGGUCAAACUAAAUAAAAAAAUA
rnacentral:misc_RNA from 1 species